UAUCUCUGUAGAGUCUGCAUAUCAAUAAGCGGAGGAAAAGAAACUAACUAGGAUUCCCUCAGUAACGGCGAGUGAAGCGGGAAGAGCUCAAAUUUGAAAUCUUCAAGGUUCUACCUUGACGAAUUGUAGUUUAAAGAAGUGUUUUCUGUUGGAGUUUUGGUAGAAGUUCUUUGGAAUAGGACAUCAUAGAGGGUGAGAAUCCCGUAUUUGACCAUUAUUUCCAACUUUGUGAUACACUUUCAAAGAGUCGGAUUGUUUGGGAAUGCAGUCCAAAAUGGGUGGUAAAUUUCAUCUAAAGCUAAAUACUGGCGAGAGACCGAUAGCGAACAAGUACCGUGAGGGAAAGAUGAAAAGAACUUUGAAAAGAGAGUUAAACAGUACGUGAAAUUGUCAAAAGGGAAGCGUUUGACACCAGUGUUGUUUUCUCGAAAAUCAAUUAAAAAUGGUGGGAUUUUGUGUUGUAUUGACUUUAUCAGCUUUCUGCACUUUUUUCCUGUCUUUUUUAAUGCACUUUUCGUUUAACAAGUCAACAUCAAUUUCUUUUGCUGUAAAAGGGUCAUUGGAAGGUGGCUUUCUUUUCGGAGAAAGUGUUUAUAGCCUUCGGACUUCUGCAAUCGGAGAGAUUGAGGUCUGCAGCGUAGAUCCUUCGGGGUUAGAUACAUUUGUGCUAAGUUAUAGCCUUUCAUAGACAACUUGUUGACUAUGAUCAGUCAUGUAGCUUACUCGCUUAUGCUAUUUUACCUACGCUUAGGAUGUUGAGUAGCGACAUACGCAC
rnacentral:rRNA from 1 species